UAGUUAAUGAAGAGUUCAUUAAUAUAAUAUGACAUACCUAGAAAAUUAAAAGAUUCGUAAAAAGUAAAAUUUGUAUAGACAACAAAGAUAAAAGUAAUUUUAUUAAAAAUUAUAUUAUAAUAAACUUAAUAUACAUAAUCCACUCAUAACGCGGAGAAAAUCUCUACUUGUUUCUAUUAAGAAGUUGAAUAGACGACGUUUCAUAAUACCUUUAAAAUAUAUUGAUUUUAUUAUAUUUAUAUUCUUAACUGAAUCAUAUUUACUUCUGACCCACUUAAUAUUUUAUUCUCACACGUACAAUUGUAACUUUUACUUCUGUGUUUCUUUUGUUAACAUUUUAUACAUUUUUUGUGCACCACAUUUCUAUAUAUUUACAAUUAUACAUACAUACAUCCCGAAUUUUUUUGAUUAAUUUUUAUAGCUCAAGUUUUGACUCCCAACAAUUACAGUACACAAUUUUUCAAACUACCAUAAAAUAACAAUAUUUUUGAAAAUAAUAAAAAUAUAGUUUUACGCAUAUGACAUUUACCAUUAUAUUUAUUUAUAGAAACAUAAGUGAACGAGUCUAAAGCUUUCACAUAUUAGAUGAGCAAAAAAAUUGGAACUUUUUCAAAAUUAGAUUCGGUUAAAGCGGAACAUAAUAAAGUGAAUUGCUUAAAUUAGCUAAUUUAGCUAUAUAUAUAUAUAUAUAUGCAUGUUACCAAAACAAAAAUAUAUCGAUGACAAACCAUUCUUUAAAAUCUGACCCUAGUGAAAACGUCGUAUGUUCCUGAAGGAAAGAAAAACAAAUGAAAAAAGAAUAAUUAAUCCCCUAGACAAUAUUUGAGAAUUGAUUUGUCAUGUCUCAUCACCACAAUAGAUUGCUAACAAGAUUUUGGAGUGUAUGAAAUGGGGUUUAGAGAAGAAGGUAUUCUCUAUUACCUUAGACAAUGCUAAUAGCAAUGAUAGCAUGCAGAGGAUCCUCAAAGGACAGCUUCAGAUGAUGAGUGGUUGUGGCUUGUUGUGCAUGUGAGAUGAUGUGUCCACAUUCUGAAUUUGAUAGUGAAAGAAGGUUUAGAAUUGGCGCAGAGUCUGUUACAUGACAUCAUGGAAAGUGUCAGAUAUGUGAAAGCAUCUCAGACAAGAAUUCAAGCAUUUGCAACAUGUGUAGAGCGAGUGGGGAUUAGAAGUGGAGCUGUUUAUUUCUUGAUGUUCCUACUAGAUGGAAUUCUACAUAUGAGAUGCUUGUUAGAGCAUUGAAGUUUAGGGAAGCAUUUAAAAGCUUGGAGGCUUUUGACAGAAACUACAGAUCGCUACCUUCUGAUGCAGAGUGGGAUUGUAGGCAAAAGUAUCUGAAUCCAGAGUAUCCAACAUCUAGUGGGUACAUCACACAAGUUUGGAUGAUUGAGCUAUUGCUGAAACAAUAUGCGAGUUGUGGUGAUUAUGAUUUGGAGCAGAUGGCUAAGGAUAUGCAAGUAUUGGGAGGAGUAUAGCACCGUUUUUUUUUUUUUUUUUUUUUUUGUAUAGCACCAUUUUGGCUAUGGGAGCAAUCUUUAGAUCCAAGGAUGAAGUUGGCAGUUCUUGAGAUAGCUUAUGAGAAAGUGGAUCCUUCUACUUCUAGCUUAAAAACUAAAGAGCUUAAGGAUAUAUAAUUUGACUGAACUUUAUAAAGAGUGUCAAGCUAGGACUUGGGCAGUUCUUCUGGUUCUUCAUAUGCACCAACUUCACAUAAUCUAGUUACUGAAUCUCUUCUUGAAGAUGAUUUAGACAAUAAGUCUUGGGAGUAAUGUAGGAAACACAAGAACACAUUUAGAUGUGUAUCUGGAUGAGACAAGGCUGGAUAGAAAGUCUUUCCGCGACUUGGAUAUACUAAGCUACUAGAAGGAAAACCAAGUUCGAUUUGGUGAUUUGGCGAUGAUGGCGCGUGAUAUACUCAGUAUCUCAAUCACUACAGUAGCAUCUGAGUCAGCUUUUAGCAUUGGAGCUCAGGUGUUGUUGACUCCAUACAUAAGCCGCUUGCUUCCCAAAAAUGUUCAAGCUUUACUCUGUACUCGUAACUGGUUGCGUGGAUUUGCAGAAUAUGAAAGUACAAUAGAAGAUGUUGAUGAUAUGUGCAACUAGGAUGUUAGGAAGACUACAAGUAUUUCUAGAGUAGAGUGUUCAAGAUCAGAAGAUUCAAGUGUGCCCUGACUUUUAGAUUCUCUUUGGUGUUUCAAAAACGACUCUUUGUUAUGUUUGAGAGACAAAAAGUGUUACUUUUAUUACGAUAUUUGUCAUCAUGUUGUUUUGGAUUAUAAUCGUUGAAUACUUGGGCAGUUGAAAUCUUGAUGGAGUAUGUAUUUAACGCAUAGGUAUAAUCACCCAGACGACCAAACGCACUAGUCCAUCAAUUUGUAUU